UUAUUUUGGCGCAAAUUUUGUUAUGCUAACUGUUUGAGCACUACGAAUGUUUAAAACUCAAAGAAUUUGGCGGCUAGUUAACUAAUUAGGGGAAUAUGUGUCUUAAUUCGAUAGUACGCGUUUCAUCAUACCAUAUCUUGAACAGCCGGUGUACUGCCGUUGUCAGCUAGUGGUGAAACUAGCUUAACCAUGAAUGCAGGUCAAAGUGCUGCUAAUGAUAUUGGGGAGUAGGUAUUACAGGACACGGAGGGAUCAAUUAUUUUGGUACAAGUGAAAUCAUGAGGGAAGGU
rnacentral:rRNA from 1 species